rnacentral:miRNA from 1 species
UUUGUAUUACGUGCGGAAAUUGUUACCAUUUUUGAGCCCAAAAUGGUAACAAUUUCCGCACGUAAUGCAAA